rnacentral:rRNA from 1 species
AUUGAACGCUGGCGGCAGGCUUAACACAUGCAAGUCGAACGGUAAGGCCCUUCGGGGUACACGAGUGGCGAACGGGUGAGUAACACGUGGGUGAUCUGCCCUGCACUUCGGGAUAAGCCUGGGAAACUGGGUCUAAUACCGGAUAGGACCACUGCCUGCAUGGGUGGUGGUGGAAAGCUUUUGCGGUGGGGGAUGGGCCCGCGGCCUAUCAGCUUGUUGGUGGGGUGAUGGCCUACCAAGGCGACGACGGGUAGCCGGCCUGAGAGGGUGACCGGCCACACUGGGACUGAGAUACGGCCCAGACUCCUACGGGAGGCAGCAGUGGGGAAUAUUGCACAAUGGGCGCAAGCCUGAUGCAGCGACGCCGCGUGAGGGAUGACGGCCUUCGGGUUGUAAACCUCUUUCAGCACCGACGAAGCGCAAGUGACGGUAGGUGCAGAAGAAGGACCGGCCAACUACGUGCCAGCAGCCGCGGUAA